AUAAACAUUUAAAGAGGUUUACAGAAUGUUUCCAGGGUGGAACCAAUGUUCAGUCUGUUGUUUGGGGUUGACAAUAUUUUCAGUUACACGCCACACUCGAUAGAGGGCAGCAUGCUUUCCUCUCUCACUUGGUGGUAGAGCUAUGCAGACACAUGCAACGAAGUUUUCCAGCUGUGAGAAGGAGUGACACUGCAAGAUGUGUUUUCAUUAACCCCUGCAAGUUAAUGCGGCCAAUGAGUUCUCACGGCAUCGUUGGUGGCACCUGUGUGCAAUAAAUGCCAGUAAAA